rnacentral:rRNA from 1 species
UACGUAGGGCGCAAGCGUUGUCCGGAAUUAUUGGGCGUAAAGAGCUCGUAGGUGGUUUGUCGCGUUGUCCGUGAAAACUCACAGCUCAACUGUGGGCGUGCGGGCGAUACGGGCAGACUGGAGUACUGCAGGGGAGACUGGAAUUCCUGGUGUAGCGGUGGAAUGCGCAGAUAUCAGGAGGAACACCGGUGGCGAAGGCGGGUCUCUGGGCAGUAACUGACGCUGAGGAGCGAAAGCGUGGGGAGCAAACAGG